rnacentral:lncRNA from 1 species
UUAUAAUACAACUCUUCAAAAGAUUAGGCUAAAGUUAAUGAUGUUGUUGGGGGGAGUCUCUCUCAUAGAAUGUCUAUCUUAAUAACAGAUUGCAAGGAUAGAAGCAGAAUAUCUCAUUGUAGCCUGCUUUAAGGGGUUGUUUCUAUUUCUAAGCCUAUGCUGUUCCUAUUUCAGGUUGGAAGCUUGAAUUGAUUCUUAUCUGUCAUCAACAAUGAGCAUUUUGCACAACUGUUCAUAAAAAACAUAGUUCUGAUCAUUUGAAAGUUUUGCAAGAAAUGCACACUACAGGCUGUUAUUUGGAAUCUGCUCUUCAGAUUAGAUCAGCUCUUCAGAUCUUUUCUUCUGUGAAAGCUGGAAACUAACUGCAAGAUGGAUUAAAGCUUAAAUCCAAUUAAGAAUUUUCAUGGAACAAAGGUUAAUUGCUCAAAUUGCACAAUAAACAGUGGAAGGUAAAACA